rnacentral:rRNA from 1 species
UGGGGAAUAUUGGACAAUGGGGGAAACCCUGAUCCAGCCAUGCCGCGUGAGUGAUGAAGGCCUUAGGGUUGUAAAGCUCUUUCGCCGAUGAAGAUAAUGACGGUAGUCGGAGAAGAAGCCCCGGCUAACUUCGUGCCAGCAGCCGCGGUAAUACGAAGGGGGCUAGCGUUGUUCGGAAUUACUGGGCGUAAAGCGAGCGUAGGUCGCUUAGCAAGUCAGUGGUGAAAGCCCAGGGCUCAACCUUGGAACUGCCAUUGAAACUGCUAAGCUGGAAUCUCAGAGGGGAUAGCGGAAUUCCAAAUGUAGAGGUGAAAUUCGUAGAUAUUUGGAGGAACACCGGUGGCGAAGGCGGCUAUCUGGAUGAGUAUUGACACUGAGGCUCGAAAGCGUGGGGAUCAAA